rnacentral:rRNA from 1 species
GACGAACGCUGGCGGCGUGCCUAAUACAUGCAAGUUGAGCGCUGAAGGUUGGUACUUGUACCAACUGGAUGAGCAGCGAACGGGUGAGUAACGCGUGGGUAAUCUGCCUUUGAGCGGGGGACAACAUUUGGAAACGAAUGCUAAUACCGCAUAAAAACUUUAAACACAAGUUUUAAGUUUGAAAGAUGCAAUUGCAUCACUCAAAGAUGAUCCCGCGUUGUAUUAGCUAGUUGGUGAGGUAAAGGCUCACCAAGGCGAUGAUACAUAGCCGACCUGAGAGGGUGAUCGGCCACAUUGGGACUGAGACACGGCCCAAACUCCUACGGGAGGCAGCAGUAGGGAAUCUUCGGCAAUGGACGAAAGUCUGACCGAGCAACGCCGCGUGAGUGAAGAAGGUUUUCGGAUCGUAAAACUCUGUUGGUAGAGAAGAACGUUGGUGAGAGUGGAAAGCUCAUCAAGUGACGGUAACUACCCAGAAAGGGACGGCUAACUACGUG